GAUGAACGCUGGCGGCGUGCCUAAUACAUGCAAGUCGAGCGAACAGACGAGGAGCUUGCUCCUCUGACGUUAGCGGCGGACGGGUGAGUAACACGUGGAUAACCUACCUAUAAGACUGGGAUAACUUCGGGAAACCGGAGCUAAUACCGGAUAAUAUAUUGAAUCGCAUGGUUCAAUAGUGAAAGACGGUUUUGCUGUCACUUAUAGAUGGAUCCGCGCCGCAUUAGCUAGUUGGUAAGGUAACGGCUUACCAAGGCAACGAUGCGUAGCCGACCUGAGAGGGUGAUCGGCCACACUGGAACUGAGACACGGUCCAGACUCCUACGGGAGGCAGCAGUAGGGAAUCUUCCGCAAUGGGCGAAAGCCUGACGGAGCAGCGCCGCGUGAGUGAUGAAGGUCUUCGGAUCGUAAAACUCUGUUAUUAGGGAAGAACAAAUGUGUAAGUAACUAUGCACGUCUUGACGGUACCUAAUCAGAAAGCCACGGCUAACUACGUG
rnacentral:rRNA from 1 species